GCUGGGUGUGAUGGCACAUGCCUGUAAUCCCAGUGGCUAUGGAGGCUGAGGCAGGAGGAUCUCGAGUUCAAAGCCAGCCUCAGCAACUUGGCGAGGUACUAAGCAACUCAGUGAGACCCUGUCUCUA
rnacentral:sRNA from 1 species